UGAGGGGGGUGAGAUAAAGAGGCAUGUUUGCUAACCCCUGUCCUAACGGGAGUGGGCGGGGUAGGACACAGGCACCUCCACAAUAGGGCCGCCAACACCCUUGGCAACUCGGUGAUUCAGACCCCGCCGAGAGUGGGCCUGGCAGGAAAGCACCCCGUGGGUUCCCUGUGACUCAGGGGAAAUGCAGAUGUCCCUGAAGAAUGACUGGCCAGGGGCCCGCUAUAACCAGCUCUAUAGCUCGUCUCCCCAAGCACCUAGAAAGUUUCCGGUCCCGGUGUAGCCCCCACCGCCACCCCCCACCCUCACCCCGGCCUUUGACGGGCGCCUCAGCUGCUUCCACCCCGCCUUACCUGGCCCUGGCAAGCCUCUUCCCCCGGCCUUCAACUCCAUAGCCCUCCCUGCCCUGCCAUGUCCCCUCGGUUACCCUUUGGCUCUGCCCAUCCUCACUAUCCACCCCCAUCCUGACGGAGCCAGCCAGAUGAUUGCAAAAGGGCUGAGCCAGCGGGAGAGGCCCUCACAUGACAGCUGUUCUUGCUGCAGAGGGGAGGGGGCAGCUGGAAGUAGAGGGAAGCACAUUCCAUGGGAGAUCCGAUCAGAAAUAGCCCCAAACCCUGACCGUCCAGCCCCUGCUCUGCGCCUGGCCUGCCCAUUGUGUAAACAAGGCUGAACCAAGUCUCAGGCGUUUCCAUUCAGGCACUGGGCUCAGUGGAUUUUAUCUGCGGCGAGGACAUGGAUGGCGCUGGAGAGUUAUCACACUAAAUGAAAUAAGUCAGAGAAAGACAAAUACGCUAUGAUGUCACUCAUAGGUAGAAUUGAAGAAACAAAUGAACAAAGGAAAAAAAGAGAGAGACAAACCAAGAAAUAGACUAACUAGAGAGAACAAACUGAUGGUUCCCCCUGCAGAGGGGGCGGGGGAGAACAGGGAAUGUGGAUGAGGGAGUGCCCUGAUGAGCACUGAGCGACGUGUGUUAGUGUGAAAUCACUCAAUGGCACACCCGAAACUAACAGAACACUGUAUGCUAACUAUACGGAAAUAAAAUAAAAGAUUUCAUCCGCAGUCAAAUGCACCUGA